AACGAACGCUGGCGGCAUGCCUAACACAUGCAAGUCGAACGAGACCUUCGGGUCUAGUGGCGCACGGGUGCGUAACGCGUGGGAACCUGCCCUUAGGUUCGGAAUAACUCCCCGAAAGGGGUGCUAAUACCGGAUAAUGUCUUCGGACCAAAGAUUUAUCGCCUUUGGAUGGGCCCGCGUUGGAUUAGCUAGUUGGUAGGGUAAAAGCCUACCAAGGCGACGAUCCAUAGCUGGUCUGAGAGGAUGAUCAGCCACACUGGGACUGAGACACGGCCCAGACUCCUACGGGAGGCAGCAGGGGGGAAUAUUGGACCAUGGGCGAAAGCCUGAUCCAGCAAUGCCGCGUGAGUGAUGAAGGCCUUAGGGUUGUAAAGCUCUUUUACCCGGGAUGAUAAUGACAGUACCGGGAGAAUAAGCUCCGGCUAACUCCGUG
rnacentral:rRNA from 1 species